UAGAGUUUGAUCCUGGCUCAGGAUGAACGCUAGCGGCAGGCCUAACACAUGCAAGUCGAGGGGUAACAGGGAGUGCUUGCACUCCGCUGACGACCGGCGCACGGGUGCGUAACGCGUAUACAAUCUACCUUUUGCUGAGGGAUAGCCCAGAGAAAUUUGGAUUAACACCUCAUAGUAUGCAAGGCUUCUCAUGGAGGCUGCAUUAAAGGUUACGGCAGAAGAUGAGUAUGCGUCCUAUUAGCUUGUUGGUAAGGUAACGGCUUACCAAGGCGACGAUAGGUAGGGGCCCUGAGAGGGGGAUCCCCCACACUGGUACUGAGACACGGACCAGACUCCUACGGGAGGCAGCAGUGAGGAAUAUUGGACAAUGGAGGCAACUCUGAUCCAGCCUGCCGCGUGCAGGAAGACUGCCCUAUGGGUUGUAAACUGCUUUUAUACGGGAAGAAACCCUCCCACGUGUGGGGGGCUGACGGUACCGUAAGAAUAAGCAUCGGCUAACUCCGUGCCAGCAGCCGCGGUAAUACGGAGGAUGCAAGCGUUAUCGGGAAUCAUUGGGUUUAGAGGGUCCGUAGGCGGAAAUCUAAGUCAGUGGUGAAAUCUUGCAGCUCAACUGUAAAAUUGCCAUUGAUACUGGAUUUCUUGAAUUAGUGUGAAGUGAUUAGAAUGUGUAGUGUAGCGGUGAAAUGCAUAGAUAUUACACAGAAUACCAAUUGCGAAGGCAGGUCACUAACACUAUAUUGACGCUGAGGGACGAAAGCGUGGGGAGCGAACAGGAUUAGAUACCCUGGUAGUCCACGCCGUAAACGAUGGAUACUAGCUGUUCGGACUUCGGUCUGAGUGGCUAAGCGAAAGUGAUAAGUAUCCCACCUGGGGAGUACGUUCGCAAGAAUGAAACUCAAAGGAAUUGACGGGGGCCCGCACAAGCGGUGGAGCAUGUGGUUUAAUUCGAUGAUACGCGAGGAACCUUACCAGGGCUUAAAUGUAAUAUGACAGGGGUGGAAACACGCCCUUCUUCGGACUCAUUACAAGGUGCUGCAUGGUUGUCGUCAGCUCGUGCCGUGAGGUGUCAGGUUAAGUCCUAUAACGAGCGCAACCCCUGUUGUUAGUUGCCAGCGAGUCAUGUCGGGAACUCUAACAAGACUGCCGGUGCAAACCGUGAGGAAGGUGGGGAUGACGUCAAAUCAUCACGGCCCUUACGUCCUGGGCUACACACGUGCUACAAUGGCCGAUACAGAGAGCAGCCACACCGCGAGGUGGAGCGAAUCUACAAAACCGGUCUCAGUUCGGAUCGGGGUCUGCAACUCGACCCCGUGAAGCUGGAAUCGCUAGUAAUCGGAUAUCAGCCAUGAUCCGGUGAAUACGUUCCCGGGCCUUGUACACACCGCCCGUC
rnacentral:rRNA from 1 species